CCUACGGGUGGCAGCAGUAGGGAAUAUUGCUCAAUGGGGGAAACCCUGAAGCAGCAACGCCGCGUGGAGGAUGAAGGUUUUCGGAUUGUAAACUCCUUUUGUUAGAGAAGAUAAUGACGGUAUCUAACGAAUAAGCACCGGCUAACUCCGUGCCAGCAGCCGCGGUAAUACGGAGGGGGCAAGCGUUACUCGGAAUCACUGGGCGUAAAGAGCGCGGAGGCGGGAUAGCAAGUCAGAUGUGAAAUCCUAGGGCUGAACCAUAGAACUGCAUUUGAAACUGUUAUUCUAGAGUAUGGGAGGGGGAGGUGGAAUUCUUGGUGUAGGGGUAAAAUCCGUAGAGAUCAAGAGGAAUACUCAUUGCGAAGGCGACCUGCUAGAACAUAACUGACGCUGAUGCGCGAAAGCGUGGGGAGCAAACAGGAUUAGAUACCCGAGUAGUC
rnacentral:rRNA from 1 species